rnacentral:tRNA from 1 species
GGAGGAUUAGCUCAGUUGGGAGCUCGUCUGCCUUACAAGCAGAGGGUCAUAGGGUCGAGCCCUGUAUCCUCCAUCA